ensembl:lncRNA
CGACCAAUCAACAGAUCAGGCAAACCAAACAUCCUUUUAAAAAGCAUUUUCUCUCUGUUUGAAAGACCAUUGACAUUACAUGAAAUAGUUGCCUUUGUCCUGCCACAGAGGCAUAAGAUAUGAACUUUGGAGUGGGGACUUUACUUUUUGCAGCUGCCAUCUCUCCUCCCAUUCCUGCAGGAACUGCCUUAAUAUAUAAAGCAAUUAACAGCAGUAAUACAGCAGAUCACAUCUGAAUACUCAACGGUCUAAAGGAAAGAGCUUAACUGAACCCAUUAUGGGGGACACUAAGCUCUGCCUUUUGCUGCUUCUGAGUGGAAUACUCUUAACAAAUGCUCAAGAUGAGGAAUUACCAUGCCUUUAAAACAAGUCUAAUGUUGUAGACUAGAGAUUUAAAGUGAUACUCCACCUCAAAAUGAAAAUUUUGUCAUUAAUCACUUAUCCCCAUGUCGUUCCAACCCCGUAAAAGCUUUGUUCGUCUUCAGAACACAAUUUAAGAUAUUUUGGAUGAAAACCGGGAGACCUGUCACUGUCCCAUAGACUGCCAUGUAUGUUACAUUGUCAAGGUCC